AGGCCUACACAUGCAAGUCKAGCGGUAGCACAGGAGAGCUUGCUCUCCGGGUGACGAGCGGCGGACGGGUGAGUAAUGUCUGGGAAACUGCCUGAUGGAGGGGGAUAACUACUGGAAACGGUAGCUAAUACCGCAUAACGUCUUCGGACCAAAGAGGGGGACCUUCGGGCCUCUUGCCAUCAGAUGUGCCCAGAUGGGAUUAGCUAGUAGGUGAGGUAAUGGCUCACCUAGGCGACGAUCCCUAGCUGGUCUGAGAGGAUGACCAGCCACACUGGAACUGAGACACGGUCCAGACUCCUACGGGAGGCAGCAGUGGGGAAUAUUGCACAAUGGGCGCAAGCCUGAUGCAGCCAUGCCGCGUGUAUGAAGAAGGCCUUCGGGUUGUAAAGUACUUUCAGCGAGGAGGAAGGCAUUGUGGUUAAUAACCGCAGUGAUUGACGUUACUCGCAGAAGAAGCACCGGCUAACUCCGUGCCAGCAGCCGCGGUAAU
rnacentral:rRNA from 1 species